AUUGAACGCUGGCGGCAGGCUUAACACAUGCAAGUCGAGCGGUAGCACAAGAGAGCUUGCUCUCUGGGUGACGAGCGGCGGACGGGUGAGUAAUGUCUGGGAAACUGCCUGAUGGAGGGGGAUAACUACUGGAAACGGUAGCUAAUACCGCAUAACCUCGCAAGACCAAAGAGGGGGACCUUCGGGCCUCUUGCCAUCAGAUGUGCCCAGAUGGGAUUAGCUAGUAGGUGGGGUAAUGGCUCACCUAGGCGACGAUCCCUAGCUGGUCUGAGAGGAUGACCAGCCACACUGGAACUGAGACACGGUCCAGACUCCUACGGGAGGCAGCAGUGGGGAAUAUUGCACAAUGGGCGCAAGCCUGAUGCAGCCAUGCCGCGUGUGUGAAGAAGGCCUUCGGGUUGUAAAGCACUUUCAGCGAGGAGGAAGGUGGUGAACUUAAUACGUUCAUCAAUUGACGUUACUCGCAGAAGAAGCACCGGCUAACUCCGUG
rnacentral:rRNA from 1 species